GUCAGGGCUUUGGAAAGUCCUUUGUCACUUUUUUUGAGAACAGAAAAACACCUCCUGUGGUUUUCACACCACCCAUGGUUUGGUAGCGUGCUGAGGUCUUACUGGGGAUCUUGACCAUGGACAGCUCCUUGUUGUAGCGUGUCAUGUUGCAUGGUGUCCUACAGAUGCAGUUACUACUCUCCAGCAUUGACAACUUGGCUACAGUAGAGAAGACAGGGAGACAUGAAGGAGAGGAUGAAGGGAUGGAUGGAAGAGAGGGAAGCACAGCCGAGAGCUGCCCAGUGACACGAGCCUACCAGACGAGCUAAACUACUUCUAUGCUUGCUUCGAGGCAAAUGACACUGAAACAUGCAUGAGAGCACCAGCUGUUCUGGAAGACUGUGUGAUCACAUUCUUCGCAGCCAAUGUGAGUAAGACCUUUAAAAAAGUCAACAUUUACAAGGCUGCAGGGCCAGACGGAUUACCAGGACGUGUAUUGCAAGCAUGCGCUGACCAACUGGCAAGAGUCUUCACUGACAUUUUGAACCUCUCCCUGACCGAGUCUGUAAUACCAACAUGCUUCAAGCAGACCACCAUAGUCCCUGUGCCCAAGAACAUUAAGGUAACCUGCUUCAAUGACUACCAACCCGUAGCACUCACGUCUGUAGCCAUGAAGUACUUUGAAAGGCUGUCGUGGCUUACAUGAACAUCAUUAUCCCAGAAACCCUAGACCCACUCCAAUUGUAUACUGCCCUAACAGAUCCACAGAUGAAGCAAUCUCUAUUGCACUCCAAACUGCCCGUUCCCACCUGGACAAAAGGAACACCUAUGUGAGAAUGCUAUUCAUUGACUACAGCUCAGGGUUCAACAGCAUAGUGCCCUCAAAGAUCAUCACUAAACUAACAACACAUCCGCCACACUGAUCCUCAACACAGGGGCCCCUCAGGGUUGUGUGCUCAGCCCUCUCCUGUACUCCCUGUUCACUCAUGACUGCACAGUGAGGCACGACUCCAACACCAUCAUUAAGUUUGCAGAUGACACAACAGUUGUAGGCCUGAUCACCGACAACGAUGAGACAGCUUAUAGGGAGGAGGUCAGAGACCUGGCCGUGUGGGGCCAGAACAACAACAUCUCCCUCAACGUGAUCAAGACAAAGGAGUUAAUUGUGGACAACAGGAAAAAGAGGACCAAGCACACCACCAUUCUCACUGACGGGGCUGUAGUGGAGCAGGUUGAAAGCUUCAAGUUCCUUGGUAUCCACAUCACCAACAAACUAACAUGGUCCAAGCACACCAAGACAACCUCUGGAGAUUGAAAAUAUUUGGCAUGGGUCCUCAGAUCCAUAAAAGGUUCUACAGCUGCACCAUCGAGAGCAUCUUUACUGGUUGCAUCACUGCCUGGUAUGGCAACUGCCCGGCCUCUGACCGCAAGGCACUACAGUGGGUAGUGCGUAGGGUCCAGCCAUCCAGGACCUCCAUACCAGGCGGUGUUAGAAGAAGACUCCUGCCACCCUAGUCAUAGACUGUUCUCUCUGCUACCACAAGCAGUACAGGAGCACCAAGUCUAGGUCCAAGAGGCUUCUAAACAGCUUCUACCCACAAGCCAUAAGACUCCUGAACAUAUACUCAAAUGGCUACCCAGACUAUUUACACCGUUGCUACUCUCUGUUGUUAUCAUCUAUGCAAAGUCACUUUAAUAACUCUACCUACAUGUACAUAUGACCUCGACUAACUGGUGCCUCCGCACAUUGACUCUGUACCUGUACGCCCUUGUUGUCACGCCUUGGUCUUAGUAUUUUGUGUUUUAGUUAAUUAGUUGGUCAGGCCAGGGUGUGACAUGGGUUUAUUGUUUGUUGUAUUUCUUAGUGGGGUUUUUUAGUUAUUGGGAUUGUGGCUGAUUAGGGGUGUGUGUUGCAUAGGUUUGGCUGCCUGAGGCGGUUCUCAAUCAGAGUCAGGUGAUUCUCGUUGUCUCUGAUUGGGAACCGUAUUUAGGUAGCCUGGGUUUCACUUUGUAUUUCCUGGGUGAUUGUUCCUGUCUCUGUGUUAGUGUUCACCAGACAGGCUGUAUAGGUUUUUCACGUUCCGUUUGUUGUUUUUGUAUGUAAUAGUUAUUUCAUGUAUCGUCAUUUGUUUCAUUAAAUUAAUGAGUAACCAACACGCUGCAUUUCGGUCCGACUUUCUUGCGACAAACGAAGAACACUGUUACACUUGUAUAUAUUCUCGCUAUUGUUAUUUUACUGCUGCUCUUUAAUUACUUGUUACGUUUAUUUCUUAUUCUUAUUCGUAUUUUUAUUUAAAAACAUACAUUUGUAAUAGUUUUUAUUUAUCUAAAAAAAACUGUAUUGUUAGUUGUGGAUCGUAAGUAAGCAUUUCACUGUGUUUGU